rnacentral:rRNA from 1 species
CCUACGGGGGGCAGCAGUAGGGAAUCUUCGGCAAUGGGGGCAACCCUGACCGAGCAACGCCGCGUGAGUGAAGAAGGUUUUCGGAUCGUAAAACUCUGUUGUUAGAGAAGAACAAGGACGUUAGUAACUGAACGUCCCCUGACGGUAUCUAACCAGAAAGCCACGGCUAACUACGUGCCAGCAGCCGCGGUAAUACGUAGGUGGCAAGCGUUGUCCGGAUUUAUUGGGCGUAAAGCGAGCGCAGGCGGUUUCUUAAGUCUGAUGUGAAAGCCCCCGGCUCAACCGGGGAGGGUCAUUGGAAACUGGGAGACUUGAGUGCAGAAGAGGAGAGUGGAAUUCCAUGUGUAGCGGUGAAAUGCGUAGAUAUAUGGAGGAACACCGGUGGCGAAAGCGGCUCUCUGGUCUGUAACUGACGCUGAGGCUC